GCACUGCUGACGAGUCCAAAACAGGACGAGACAGCUGUCCAGUGC
rfam:Echinostoma caproni strain Egypt genome assembly, scaffold: ECPE_scaffold0009857